rnacentral:rRNA from 1 species
UGGGGAAUAUUGCACAAUGGGGGAAACCCUGAUGCAGCGACGCCGCGUGGAGGAAGAAGUAUUUCGGUACGUAAACUCCUAUCAGCAGGGAAGAAAAUGACGGUACCUGACUAAGAAGCCCCGGCUAACUACGUGCCAGCAGCCGCGGUAAUACGUAGGGGGCGAGCGUUAUCCGGAUUCACUGGGUGUAAAGGGAGCGUAGACGGCGAUGCAAGCCUGAUGUGAAAACCCGCAGCUCAACUGCGGGCCUGCAUUGGGAACUGUAUAGCUGGAGUACUGGAGGGGCAGGCGGAAUUCCUGGUGUAGCGGUGGAAUGCGUAGAUAUCAGGAAGAACACCGGUGGCGAAGGCGGCCUGCUGGACAGAUACUGACGUUGAGGCUCGAAAGCGUGGGGAGCAAACAGGAUUAGAUACCC